UAGGGAAUCUUCCGCAAUGGGCGAAAGCCUGACGGAGCAACGCCGCGUGAGUGAUGAAGGUCUUCGGAUCGUAAAACUCUGUUAUUAGGGAAGAAUAAAUGUGUAAGUAACUAUGCACGUCUUGACGGUACCUAAUCAGAAAGCCACGGCUAACUACGUGCCAGCAGCCGCGGUAAUACGUAGGUGGCAAGCGUUAUCCGGAAUUAUUGGGCGUAAAGCGCGCGUAGGCGGUUUUUUAAGUCUGAUGUGAAAGCCCACGGCUCAACCGUGGAGGGUCAUUGGAAACUGGAAAACUUGAGUGCAGAAGAGGAAAGUGGAAUUCCAUGUGUAGCGGUGAAAUGCGUAGAUAUAUGGAGGAACACCGGUGGCGAAAGCGGCUCUCUGGUCUGUAACUGACGCUGAGGCUCGAAAGCGUGGGGAGCGAACAGG
rnacentral:rRNA from 1 species